AUGAGUAAUCCAGAACAGAACACAAUCUUCAUCAUCACACAAGACAAAACAACAACAAUGAACAACAUCAUCUUCUUCAUCUGGACAUUGCUGUGCUCUAUACAAGGCUCCAGUGGACAGAUCACAGUUACUCAAACUCCUGCAGUUCAAACAACUGAAGCAGGAAAGACUGUUGUGAUGAGAUGCACCUGCAGCACUCCUUUAACAGAUUGCAGCCCACCAUGUCUGUCCUGGUACUUACAGAAACCUGGAGAAGCUCCUAAACUCUUGAUUUAUAGAGUUAACAGUCUCCAGUCAGGAACUCCAUCUAGAUUCAGUGGCAAUGGAUCUGGCAGUGAUUUCUCUCUGACCAUCAGUGGAGUCCAGACUGAAGAUACAGGAGACUAUUACUGUCUGAGUUUUCACUACCCAAACAGUAAAGCUGUGUUCACACAGUGUCAUACAAAAACCUCCGUUAGUCAGAGUCACAGUGACUGCACUGAUACAGCUGAGAGAUACUGCAGCUGCUGA